ACUCCCAGUUGCUGGAGCCCCUGAGAUACCCAAGGCCCUACCACAGAGAGGCCUACUGUAAAGGUUCCCGACGUCCACCCCCACAACCAGGAAGCAGACCCCAAAGGCCCCCUCCUACCCCAGGUGGACGUCAGAAGCUCAAGAAGAUGGGGCCCUGAGGAGCGUCAGACCACAAGCUCACUGGGCAGGACCGUCAAACAGCCCCAGCAAUCAAUGUGAAAUGACAAAUGGCAGGAGACUGUAAAGACAGCUGGUGUAGCCCUACCUCUGGUGCAGCCUGGGCAGAGCGGACACUGCGGAGGCGGACGG